AUGGCAGGCAGUCGUGACCACAGCUUAGGGAUUUUAUGGAAGAGGAAAACAAUCAAAUGGUAUUGGGUGACCACAAAAGAGCAGGAUGUGAGUCCACGCCUCUUGGCUUCUGUUCUCCCUCUUGCCCUGGCCUCCUGCCAUCUUGCCUUUCCUCUCUAUGAAGGACUGCAGAGCGAGUACCAGACCUCUGGAAGAGAGAAAGAGAGGACAACGUGGGAGGCCACCCAACGGGAGGCUAGAGGGGCCUUUGCUGGAGAGGUGAGGAAGGGCAGAAGCCUUACGGGCUGGACAGGAGCGUCACGUGCCUCGACCGGCAGACCAGUGAGAAGGGGCGGAGCCGGAAGAGCAAGGAAAGGGCAUCGGCAAAGCAGGUGGUUGGAUCAGCUGACAGAACAGUGGGCUGGCCCAGAGGAGGCCAGAAGGUGGACAGCUGCACCCGCGUGCUAAGGAGGGCUCUGUG
rnacentral:lncRNA from 1 species